UAUGAACGUAGAAAGGGUGUGAAGUGAGUAUAAUCAAAAUCCAUUAAUCAUCAGUCAUACAAAUGACAAAUUCAGUGGAAUUAAUUGAAAAGUACCUGUUUCCUCUGAACCCUUGAAUCUGUUGUUGAGAACGUCGAGUUUAGGGUGUGAGCGAGAAAUGAUUGUUUGAUUUGAUUGGGGUAAGGGAGAAGAAGAUUGAUAAUAAGGUUCAAGUUGUCGUUGCGAAGAGCAACCCCACAUGAGUGAGCGGAGCUCGAUCAGAGCUGCGGCGCUUCCAGUUCCAGUUCCAGUUCCAGUUCCAGUUCCAGCACAAUCGAUCAUAUAAUGCGUUGUGGUGGAUGUGGAUUGAGGUGGACAGAGAUUGAGGGUUGGAUGCGGGACUAUGACAACAUUCAGCGCCUCGCUAUCAAAUUGAUCUACGCUCAGAUUGUAUGCGCCUUAAUCGGAUCGCUGGGGGCGCUCUACAACGGCGUAUUGCUCGUCAAUUUGGGGAUUUCUUUGUUCGCACUCGUCGCCAUUGAGAGCAGCAGCCAGAGCCUCGCCAGGACUUACGCCGUCCUCCUCUUCUCCUCUAUUUUGCUCGACCUCUCCUGGUUCUUCCUCUUUUCUGACCAUAUCUGGAACAUUCCAUCUGAGAUUUAUGGAACCUUUGUUAGUUUAUCAGUGAAGCUCACACUAGCUAUGCAAAUUAUUGGAUUUUCAGUGAGGUUAUCAUCUUCACUGUUAUGGAUGCAGAUGUACAGACUAGGUGCUUCUUACAUGGACAACUCUGUUCAUAGAGAUACAGAUGUUGAUCUGAGAAAUAGUUUUCUCAGCCCUACAACUCCUUUACUUCGACGUCCCUCUGGUUCUGAUGAUGUAAUUGGAGGUUCCAUAUAUGAUCCUGCAUAUUAUUCUUCUCUUUUUGAAGAUGGCAGAGAUAAUGCUUUCCUGUGUGAGCUUUUCCAGGUACAUUGUAUUAGUUCCAAAGCAAACCAUACACUACCCUCAAUGGGCAUCUGCCUGUACUCUUGUUCUUUGAAUAUAUAUAAGCAAAUUUACCAAAGCUUUGAUUGAUAAUUUCUAUUUUUCUAUCUGCUUGAGGAUGGUAGGAGUUGUAUUCUAGGCUUAUCUUAAGCUUCUUCCACAAGACCUUCAAAAAUGGGAUAUAAACAUAGGGUUAGGAUCUCUAUCAGUAGUGGUAGUUUUUGUCACCUUAUGUAUGCAAAUAACCUCUGUGAAGCAAAGAUUUGCAAAAUAAAUAACAGCUGAUGUUUUCUUUGAAAAAAAUAAAAUGCAUCAUUUGGGAGAUACGAUCAACCAUCACAAAUAUUGGGUUCAUCUGCAUCCGAGGUAAUCUAAGACAAUCCGUGCUUACAUCGUCCCUUGAACUUGGUGGUUCCGGUCAUAGACUUUAUAACUCAAUCCUCAGUCAUUGCAUAAGUUUUAUCACUGCCAACAUGCCAUCUUAAGCCUCCAUGCUUCAAAUUCUUUUUUCCAUCUGGUGUACAAAUGGAGCAGAGCAAUAUAUCUUACUGCAGGCCAAACGUUGGGACAGCAUGAUAUAUGCCCUAUAAAGCUGGCCCAGCUCAUGGCAAUUCUGUAGGUAACUCUGAAUCUACUGCUGAAACUGUUUAUCCUAAUGCAUCUCCAGGGAAACCUUUUCAUUCUAAUGAU